UGUGGGAGCGGGCUUGCUCGCGACGGGAUCGAUGCGGACCUUACUGAAAUACCGCGCCGCCCGCAUCGCGAGCAAGCCCGCUCCCACA
rnacentral:misc_RNA from 1 species